AGCUCGAGCCCCACCCAGUAACCUGGGAAAUUUACACACCACCCCAGGGUGCCGCUAAGAGGCAGUACUUCCCCACUUGCAAGCACAGAGUCUGAAUGUAGAAAAGAAACUUUUAAUAAAAGGAGGGAAGUAACUGGGUGUUAAUUUGGGAAAAACACAGUGAACAGACAGGCAGGGAGUACUUGUGGCACCUUAGAGACUAACCAAUUUAUUUGAG